rnacentral:rRNA from 1 species
AUUGAACGCUAGCGGGAUGCCUUACACAUGCAAGUCGAACGGAGUGGCGAACGGGUGAGUAAUGUAUCGGAACGUGCCCAGUAGAGGGGGAUAAAUACGCGAAAGCGUAGCUAAUACCGCAUACUAUUGGAGCGGCCGACAUCGGAUGAGCUAGUUGGUGGGGUAACGGCUCACCAAGGCGACGAUCCGUAGCUGGUUUGAGAGGACGACCAGCCACACUGGAACUGAGACACGGCCCAGACUCCUACGGGAGGCAGCAGUGGGGAAUAUUGGACAAUGGGGGAAACCCUGAUCCAGCCAUCCCGCGUGUGCGAAGAAGGCCUUCGGGUUGUAAAGCACUUUUGGCAGGGAGGCGGUACCUGCAGAAGAAGCACCGGCUAACUCCGUGCCAGCAGCCGCGGUAAUUC